AGUCGUCCUUUGUCUUAGGGGGAAAGAGUCCAGAACACACAAAAAAAGUUGCAGCGCUCGCAAAAAAACUCUUCCAUGGCUUAAAACUGGACGUUGCGUUAGACAAGGACGUCGCUAAAAAAGGAGGCGCAAAAGGGAUAUUGAAAAGAUUGGGAGU